CCAUCCCUCACACCUGCACAUAUUUCAUUCCCUUUAUCUUCAGACUGACGUCAUCUCAGGUACUUUGCCUAUAAAAGUGCAUCUGGAACCAUAAAACGUCACAUUUUCAUCGACAUCGGUGGAUGACAUUCAAGCCGAGAAUCCUAACCUAGAGCCGAGAAGAGAAACCACAUCAUCAUCACCAUGACUGCAAAGAUUUGUUUCAUCGUUCUUCUGUUUGUUGCUUCUGGCAAUUCACAGG